AUUGAACGCUGGCGGAAUGCUUUACACAUGCAAGUCGAGCGGCAGCGCGGGGCAACCUGGCGGCGAGCGGCGAACGGGUGAGUAAUACAUCGGAACGUACCCAGUUGUGGGGGAUAGCCCGGCGAAAGCCGGAUUAAUACCGCAUACGACCUGAGGGUGAAAGGGGGGGAUCGCAAGACCUCUCGCAGUUGGAGCGGCCGAUGGCGGAUUAGCUAGUUGGUAGGUAAAGGCCUACCAAGGCGACGAUCCGUAGCUGGUCUGAGAGGACGACCAGCCACACUGGAACUGAGACACGGUCCAGACUCCUACGGGAGGCAGCAGUGGGGAAUUUUGGACAAUGGGGGCAACCCUGAUCCAGCCAUUCCGCGUGAGUGAAGAAGG
rnacentral:rRNA from 1 species